CCCGCAGGCCCCUCUGGUAGUCCUCUUCCCACCCGCCGCCUCGGGCUGCGCCGCAGCCGCCACCGCCGCAACCUCCAGCACCGCCGCCCCAGUCCCCGCAGCCGCCGCGUCGCCGCCAUUUUUUAAAGGGUCCGCAGCCUGAUGCUGCCGAGUAAGGGGGGGUGGGGCGGCUGAGUCGGCCUCGCCAGUGCGCAUGCGCGAGGCCCGAGUCGCCGCUUGGAUCACAGUGACCGCCACCGUUGCCCGGGGAUGGGUCCCUGAGACUUUGCGAAGUAGGAGCCCUGUGUGAUCGUGCGUCAGAGUCGGGGCUGAGACCAGUCCUGGCCAGGGCAGUUACCAGGACGGUCUCCGGAGGCCGGGAUUCGCGGAGGGUCCACCAGCAGGAAGAAACGCCAGAAGGAAGAAACCUCAGACAGAUCGCCGGGGAGGCAGCGCGGGAUCCCAGCCUCAGGCGUGCGCGGACGGUGUGCGGGAAGGGAGUGUAUCCUGGUGUAUGACAGCAUAUAGUAGAGACCAGUGUCAAUUAGGGCCUGUGAACUGAGACAGGGUGACUGGCUAAGUCCACAACCCAUUAGAAACCCAGAAAUAAUCAAAUCAUGGAGAGAUUAGUCCAGGGACAAUAAAUAUGGAUUAGGGAAGAAUGUGUUAACUCAGCAGGCCAGGGUUUCUUCAACCCUGCACAUUCAAAGAGGGAUCAUGGAAAGGAAGCUGAAUUUGCUGAGUUUUGCCACGUGGGCAUUGCAUGCCUAUGUGAUUAACCACCAAUAAAAACCUGGGACAUCAAAAAAUAAAUAAGCUGCUUUAAUUGCCAAGAAUUCACAUGUGGUUGUAUGCAGCAUUACUGGGAGAUUGAAGUGUAUCUGCAUGUGAUUCUACUGUGAUGGACACUUGUAAAUUUGUGCCUGGAGUCUCCUGGAAUUUGCCCUGAGAAUCUUUUUCCUUUGUUGAUAAGAAUCUGCAUCCUUUUGUUUUAAUAAACGAUAAACAUGAGUAUAAUUGCUUCUCUGAGUUCUGAGAGUUUUUUAAAUAAAUAAUCAAAGCUGAAAAGCAAUGGAGACCCCCACCAAAACAUCUUUA
rnacentral:lncRNA from 1 species